GGAUAAUCCCAGGUGACUGGGGAAAGGUCGGGUCAGGCUGGUUGGCCCGGCUCCUCUGAAGUUGGAUCGAAAGGUAUGAUGAGGAGGCAGAAUUCACCAGUUCCUCUGGCGGUGUUCGCACACCGUCAAAUGCGAAUGAGGGACUUGGCGGCGAGGGGCGAUGAGAAGCCGCUCCGAGCCGGGUCAAGUAGUUCAGGCCGGUUUCGAGCCUGGGCGAAUCGCAGUUACCCAGAGGGUAUCCGGUUGCUACUGCGCAUCAGCACGGACGGGCGACUCUGGCGGUCACGCAAAAAACGGGAUCAGCCAAAAGAAAGACGCCGAAAGGCGGGACAAAAUGAGCGUUCGCACCGGGAAGGACACGACGGCUCGACAGGCUGCGUGAAAACCUUCCAAGCGUCGGCGAUGUUAAAAACGACACCGCUGGGCUGUGAGCAAAAGGCAACCUGAGAGUGAAGAGGCGAGACCCGUGGUAUCGGGCGAACGCACCGUCAAAAGCGGUGGCUGACCCGGUGCUAAGUGGUGAAGACGCGAAGAUCAAAUCACAGAUGUGUCUUCAUCUGGUUUGCAAGCUGGUGGCGCAACCAUCAGUUCAAGCAGGCUGAAAAGCCUCACUCGAAAUCCAGCGGCCGCAAGGCACUGGACGGCCCUGCCACGAGGCCGAAGACUCCGCUUGCCGUGGAGAAUGGCGUCGGGAAGCUGACAGCCCCCGAAAGGGGCGUGCCUAAUGUCGGCAUGGGAAAGAGAGCUUGGCGCACUCC
rnacentral:ncRNA from 1 species